GCAGCUUGAAAGGGCGUGGAAGGCUCUGAAGUGGAAUGAGAAGCUUAAUUUAGUAACAUCAGUUGUUCGUGCAAUCACUUCAUCAUCUGAUACAUCAAGAAACAAUUUUAAGGUUAUCUUCUUAACAAUUUUUAGUGUAAAUCAGUUACAUUCUUCAUACGUACUUGCUGAAGGAGAAACAUGAGCAAGAUUAAUUGCAGGUAUCAAGUACAGAAGAUGGGACCUUUCAGCUAUAUGAGCAACUAAGUUUUACAUAUCCAUCACUCCUGCAGCCUCUUCUACAUGAACGAGACACUGUAAGUCUUGCUUUUACAGACAUGGAGCCCAAAAAAAAAAAAAAGAAGAAGAAGAAAAGGAGAAUUAACAAGCUAAAAUUGUUUGCAUUUGUUUGAUUUUUCAGUACCUGGCAUGGUCUCUGAAACGGAGCAAAGCCGUGAACAAGAGCAAGAGAGUAGUGGGGGUGAUUGGAAAGGGACAUAUGAAUGGGG
rnacentral:lncRNA from 1 species